AAAAACAGUUGGUACGACAUUGUUUAGAAUUUUGUCAAAGUUUUGGUGAAAUGCAAAUGAUUUGGAUUUUCAGUUUUGUUUUUCUGAUAUGCUCAGUAUCUGCGGAAGAGGAACAAAAUGACCCAAACUUCUUCAGAAGUCUUCAGAAAAGACCGUUUUGCAAUGCUUUUACUGGAUGUAUGACAAAAAGAGGAUCAAAAACCUUCAUAGCAGAGAGUAAGUUGUCUCCAAGUGAUCUCGGACGUGGAUCAGCAGAUGAAGAACUGUUUUUCUACUUGAUGAAUUUUCUUUUACUUCCUAAUUCAUUCAGGCGUAAUGGAUCUAAAGGAAACAAUGUAUAUCCUCGAACAUUCAUCAGUUACCGGACGAAAUUUUUCAAUGAAAGCCCAGAAGACAGAUCACAGAUUUCAUAAAGCGAUUUCAAAGAAGGGUUGUUACAAAAGUGAAACAGAAGUUUCUCAUUGUGUUUACUAAAACAUAUGCACAUAUUUAGUAGAUCUUAAGAAAAUAUUUCUUUUGAAGAUGUCACAUAAAACAGUAAUCUUAGCUUUUAUGUUGAAAUAAAGUUUGAUGAACUAAG